CGCGAACACGCUAUUGUUCGCCAGCGGACAGUUCACGAACAGUUCGGCGGACAGUUCGCGACAUCUCUAUUGGUAAGGAUACAAUAUAUGGGAGUCUAUAAAAGAUAACUAUAACAGUACAUAGUGUAACCUGAAAGGAUAACAAUAAAAAGCAAACAAAUGUAUGGUUGCACUCACAUGUGUAGAGUCGUAACAGGCUCUAUGUUAUCAGCUUCAAGGUGCCAAUAAGAGUAUACAAUACAGCAAACGUGUUUCAACAUGAAAGUCUUCUUCAGUUGCAUGAAAACUUUCAUGUUGAAGCGCGUUUGCUGUAUUAUAUUAAGGACUUUAUCGCGGUAGUGUAUAUUAUUGUUUUUACACACUGCUUUUCACUAAUAAACAUCUUGGAAAUUAUUGCAACCUGCCUGGUUGCCUGUGGACAACUGUCCAAGCCAGUAUUGGCACCUUGAAGCUAUUAUUGUUAUUUGGUGGACACUUUUCUUAUAUUAUUUAGUUGUUAUAUUUUUUUGUUUAUCGUGUUUAACCCCUUAAGGAUGGCGGGCAUUCUAUGCCAUCCUUUUUUAGGCGGUCCUAAGAUCCCCGCCGUCCUUCAUACUUACCGGGUCCCUGCUGAUCCCACGCCGGCGGUCACGAUGCUGGGGUGUGCCUGGGAGCACAGACAGACCCCCCUCUGCCCAAUCUGGCUCCCCC